GAUGAACGCUGGCGGCGUGCCUAAUACAUGCAAGUCGAGCGAACGGACGAGAAGCUUGCUUCUCUGAUGUUAGCGGCGGACGGGUGAGUAACACGUGGAUAACCUACCUAUAAGACUGGGAUAACUUCGGGAAACCGGAACUAAUACCGGAUGAUAUUUUGAACCGCAUGGUUCAAAAGUGAAAGACGGUCUUGCUGUCACUUAUAGAUGGAUCCGCGCUGCAUUAGCUAGUUGGUAAGGUAACGGCUUACCAUGGAAACGAUGCAUAGCCGACCUGAGAGGGUGAUCCGCCACACUGGAACUGAGACACGGUCCAGACUCCUACGGGAGGCAGCAGUAGGGAAUCUUCCGCAAUGGGCGAAAGCCUGCCGGAGCAACGCCGCGUGAGUGAUGAAGGUCUUCGGAUCGUAAAACUCUGUUAUUAGGGAAGAACAUAUGUGUAAGUAACUGUGCACAUCUUGACGGUACCUAAUCAGAAAGCCACGGCUAACUACGUG
rnacentral:rRNA from 1 species